AGCGAACGCUGGCGGCAGGCCUAACACAUGCAAGUCGAACGAAGCCUUCGGGCUUAGUGGCGGACGGGUGAGUAACACGUGGGAACGUACCUUUUGGUUCGGAACAACUCAGGGAAACUUGAGCUAAUACCGGAUGAGCCCUUAGGGGGAAAGAUUUAUCGCCGAAAGAGCGGCCCGCGUUAGAUUAGCUAGUUGGUGAGGUAAAGGCUCACCAAGGCUACGAUCUAUAGCUGGUCUGAGAGGAUGAUCAGCCACACUGGGACUGAGACACGGCCCAGACUCCUACGGGAGGCAGCAGUGGGGAAUCUUGCGCAAUGGGCGAAAGCCUGACGCAGCCAUGCCGCGUGAAUGAUGAAGGACUUAGGAUUGUAAAAUUCUUUUACCAGGGACGAUAAUGACGGUACCUGGAGAAAAAGCCCCGGCUAACUUCGUGCCAGCCGCCGCCGUAAUAC
rnacentral:rRNA from 1 species